UGUAUUUGCAUGUUUGUUCUGAAGAGGUUCCCAUAGCCCGGCUCUGACUUUUAUCUAUCCCCACAGGAUGUACUCCUACACUUUUUCUUCCAGGGUCCCAUGCUUCCUGUGGGUGUUCCCACAGCUGCCAAUUCAGACAGCUUGGGUCUGUAAUAGGCUUUGCACAAUUUUGAAGAUGCUUUUCUCUCACUAAGUCAAGUGACUCCACACAUGCAUGCACACACACAUACACACACACACACAAAGGCAGAUGUUUAGCAUCAGGAAUCAAAACAGAAUUUUCGCACCACACAGCACAUUCUUCUCUUCCUGAUACCUUUCAUUUCCUCUCUACAGGAUAUGGAGCAAUUUUCCUCUUUUGCUGCUGCUCAUGUGAACUCAGGAAUCUGUGAAUUAUUCUAGGACAUCUGAAUUCCCAUGUAAUCUUCUCUGAGAGCUUCCUCCCCACUGCUCUGUUUGCCUUUUGCAACUUCCUAGGAGAGAAAUUUGUGAAAGAUGGGCUAUGCUUUAAAAAGGUGAAUCAUCAAACUCAAAUCCCAACAGCAGCACAACCACCUUGAAUGAAAAUUAAGUUUUUAACAUCUGAGAACCCAUACAGACUGCUCUCAUCAUGGACUUUCCAAGAAGAGAAGAAAUACAAACUAUAUUCUUAAAGCAUUACUCCUCUCCAAGUGGUGAGUUCUCAACAGUCAGUAGGCAACACAGAUUUCUCAUAUUAGAAGUGUAGCCACGUCAUCUGGUGAACUGAUUCAACUCUUCUGAACACUCAUCCAUUUUAAUACGUAUGUUGAAAGAAAUUAUUCUAAUGCUGUUCAACACUUGAGAUUAAGAUAAAAGUGCUUUCAGUAUUGGUUUAUUCAUUUAUUUAUUAUUUUAUUUUGAGUCUUCUUUCCCAUGUAAAAUAUUCUAGUUGAAUCUUUUCUGCUCUUCUCUAUUAAAGUUGUCACCUUUUCAAAUACUGGCUCUUUCACUAGUGUUCAUGGCUAAUGUGACAUGAGAAAGAGAAUAGAAUUUUAUCUGGCUUAGACAACAUAGCAGUUACAGUAACUUUUAAUUUCAGUAGAUGGUGAUAUUGUGAAUACAUCCUCAGCAAUAAACUCAGCUGGUUAUUUGGUCAACAGAAGUGCUAUACGGGCUGCUAAUUGCAACCCUAUGUUGGAUAUGGUUCCAAGUACAUGUUCUAAGUGUUAGCCCAGAAGGCAGUUUUCAAAGGAAAAAAGCUCUUCCAGAAAAUUCAGUUGUGAGGCUGGUGACUGAGACAAAAGGCACCAGAAACAACUUUAAAAAGCUGCGGUACCUCCUCUUCCUUCCUAAUCAUCUGGAUGUCUUUUUCCUCAGGGAGCAUUAGUGGGUAUUGACUAACAUAUUCAGACAAAAAGUAUGGAACAGAGACUCUGUGAACUACUCUUUGCAUUUAAGUUGAUCUUUGUGUAAAUCAACUAGGAAGGUAAUGGGGUCACACAUUUUACAAGAUGGGAAAAAAAUAUUACUAAAUAGCUAUGAUGCCACGGAAAGGGCAAAAGGUUAAGAAAAUGAUUAGCUUGAGGGAAGAGUCACAUAUACAGAGGGAUGGAAACACUUGGCUAAUAAGUGUGUGGCAUUCCUCUGCUGUGAUUUCAGAAUUCACAAUACCAACAAGCUUUUCUUUUCUUUUCUGAACUCAUCAGAAAGUCUACAUCCCCUAUAAUUAAAAAGGAAGAAAAUCAGUAGGAAAUGAUAAGGGUAUGGGAACUAGGAAGAAAUUUUGUACUAGUGAGCAUUACCACCAUUUAGUUGCAUGGACACAGCCCAGUGAGCAGAGUUCAAUAUUGUAAGUCACAAAACAAAUCCCUGCUUUUUCUUUGCAUGUUUGAAUAAAGUUUUCUCAGUUAUUUGAUGGGACUCUAUGCUGAUAUCAAAUAAAGGAAUGUAUCCUCCAUGACUUUGUUUCAAUCCUGUUUACUGCCAGCUAUGAG